rnacentral:rRNA from 1 species
ACAGGGGAACCUGAUGCUGCACGCCGCGUGAGUGAAGAAGGCCCUUGGGUUGUAAAGCUCUUUAGCUAGGGAAGAGGCUUAGCUAACCUAAUACGUUAGUUGGGUGACGGUACCUAGAGAAUAAGCACCGGCUAAUUUCGUGCCAGCAGCCGCGGUAAUACGAAAGGUGCAAGCGUUACUCGGAAUUACUGGGCGUAAAGCGCUCGCAGGCGGAUUAGUAUGUCAAUUGUGAAAGCCCAGAGCUCAACUCUGGAAUCGCAGUUGAAACUGCUUUUCUUGAAUACCUGAGAGGGUGGGGGAAUACCUAGUGGAGAAGUGAAAUUCGUAGAGAUUAGGUGGAACACCGGAGGCGAAGGCGCCUGCCUGGCAGUGUAUUGACGCUGAGGAGCGAAAGUGUGGGGAGCAAACAGGAUUAGAUACCCUGGUAGUCCACACCGUAAACGAUGGAUACUAGGUGUUCGGAGAGUUAACCCUCUGAGUACCAAAGUUCAACACAUUAAGUAUCCCGCCUGGGAAGUACGGUCGCAAGAAUAAAACUCACAGGAAUUGACGGGGGGCCCGCACAAGAGGUGCACGCAUGUGGUUCAAUCGAAGCAACGCGCAAGAACCUACCUGGUCUUG